CCUAGUAACGGCGAGUGAAGCGGCAACAGCUCAAAUUUGAAAUCUGGCGUCUUCGGCGUCCGAGUUGUAAUUUGCAGAGGGCGCUUUGGCAUUGGCAGCGGUCCAAGUUCCUUGGAACAGGACGUCACAGAGGGUGAGAAUCCCGUACGUGGUCGCUAGCCUCUACCGUGUAAAGCCCCUUCGACGAGUCGAGUUGUUUGGGAAUGCAGCUCUAAAUGGGAGGUAAAUUUCUUCUAAAGCUAAAUACUGGCCAGAGACCGAUAGCGCACAAGUAGAGUGAUCGAAAGAUGAAAAGCACUUUGGAAAGAGAGUUAAAAAGCACGUGAAAUUGUUGAAAGGGAAGCGCUUGCAGCCAGACUUGCCUGUAGUUGCUCAUCUAGGUUUUUACCUAGUGCACUCUUCUAUAGGCAGGCCAGCAUCAGUUUGGGCGGUUGGAUAAAGGUCUCUGUCAUGUACCUCUCUUCGGGGAGAACUUAUAGGGGAGACGACAUGCAACCAGCCUGGACUGAGGUCCGCGCAUCUGCUAGGAUGCUGGCGUAAUGGCUGUAAGCGGCCCGUCUUGAAACACGGACCAAGGAGUCUAACAUCUAUGCGAGUGUUUGGGUGUCAAGCCCGAACGCGUAAUGAAAGUGAACGGAGGUGGGAACCUUUCGGGGUGCACCAUCGACCGAUCCUGAUGUCUUCGGAUGGAUUUGAGUAAGAGCAUAGCUGUUGGGGACCCGAAAGAUGGUGAACUAUGCUUGAAUAGGGUGAAGCCAAAGGAAACUCUGGUGGAGGCUCCGCAGCGGUUCUGACGUGCA
rnacentral:rRNA from 1 species